CCCAAAAAAUUUAAUUUUCCCUCCCAAAAUUUUAAAUUAUUUUAGUAAAAAAAUUCACAUUUUUUUCCCAAAUAAUUCACAUUCUCCCCCCUAAAAUUUCAAAUUAUUUUAGUAAAAAAUUCACUUUUUUUGCCCAAAAAAUUCCCUCUGAAAAUCAAUUUAUUUGCCCCCAAAAAUCAGAUUUUUUCCCAAAUAAAUUCAGAUUUUUCCCCCAAAAAUUAUCAAUUUUUCCCCCAAAAAUUCUGUUUUUUUAACAGAAAAAUCAAUUUAAAAUAUCUUUUUUUUUUUCCAAAAAAAUCUGAUUUUUUCUCAGAAAUAUUUGGAAUUUUUUCCCUUAAAAAUUCACUUUUUCCCUCAAUAAUUCAGAUUUUUUUCACCAAAAAAAUUUAAUUUUUUUUCAAAAAAAUUCAGUUUUCUUCCACCCAAAAAUUCAUUUUUUUCCCGUGAAAAAAAAUUGAUUUUUCAGUGAAUUUUUUAGUGGAAAUUUUGGAGGAUUUUGACCCAAAAAUUGAAUUUUUUCCCAUAAAAACUUCGAUUUUUCACCUGGAAUUUUUGGACAGAAUUGACCCUAAAAAAGGUGAGAAAAUGACCAAAAAAUUCAAAUUUUUUUCCCCCAAAAUUUGAAUAUUUUUUCUUAAAAAUUUGAUUUUUCACGGAGAUUUAAGCAACAAAAAUUCAAUUUUUUUUUCCCCAAAAUUUGGUUUUUUUUCCCCUAAAAAAUCCAAAUUUUCCAUUUUUACUCUUUAAGAAAUCCCUAAAAUAAUUCUGAAAAAAAAUCAAAUUACAUUUUAAAUUCAAAUGAAAUAAAAUUUUUAAAGCCACCUUAAUUUAUUAAUUAAUAAAAAUUAUUUUAAAUAUCUCAAAUUUUUACCAAAUUUUUUUUUGCUGUAAAAUUUGGAAUUUUUAAGAGAUUUUUAAGGUGAAAAAUCUUUAAAAAAUCGGAAUUUUGAGGUGAAAAAUCCUCAAAAAAUCGAAAUAUUUGCAGAAAUAUUUUGAUUUUUUGGGGGGAAUUUUUGCAGAAAUAUUUUGAUUUUUUUGGGGGAAUUUUUGCAGAAAUAUUUUGAUUUUUUUUGGGAAUUUUUGCAGAAAUAUUUUGAUUUUUUUGGGAAUUUUUGCAGAAAUAUUUUGAUUUUUUUGGGAAUUUUUUGGGAAUUUUUGGGAUUUUUCCCGGAAUUUUUUCGGGAUUUGGUGCAUGAGGAAAAGCCCCAGGAAAUGGCAAAAAAAGAUGGAAAAAAGCGGAAAAAAAAGGAAAAAAAAAAGAUUAAAAAAAUGAAAAUAAUUGAGAAUAAAAGGAGGAGGCUGCGGAGUUUUUAUUGGGAAAUGGGGAUUAAUUGGGGAUUAAUUAAUUGGGGGUUUUAAUUGGAAUUUAUUGGGAUUUAUUUGGGAAUUUAUUGGGAUUUAAUUGGGGUUUUAAUUGGGAAUUUAUUGGGAUUUAUUUGGGGUUUAAUUGGGAAUUUAUUCGGGAUUUAAUUGGAAAUUAAUUGGGGUUUUAUUGGGGUUUAAUUGAGAUUUAAUUAGGAUUUAAUUGGGGAAUUAAUGAGGAUUUUAUUGGGAUUUAUUGGGGAUUUAAUUGGAAAUUAAUUGGGGUUUUAUUCGGGUUUAAUUGAGAUUUAAUUAGGAUUUUAUUGGGAUUUAUUGAGAUUUUACUGCAAAUUAAUUUUGAUUUAUUUAGAAUUUAAUUAGAAAUUAAUUGGGGUUUAAUUGAGAUUUAAUUAGGAUUUAAUUAGGGAAUUAAUGAGGAUUUUAUUGGGAUUUAUUGAGAUUUUACUGCAAAUUAAUUGGGAUUUAUUCGGGACUUAAUUGGAAAUUAAUUGGGGCUUUAUUUGGGUUUUAUUGGGGUUUAAUUGAUAUUUAAUUAGGAUUUAAUUGGGAAUUAAUGAGGUUUUUAUUGGGAUUUAUUGGGAUUUUACUGCAAAUUAAUUGGGAUUUAUUUGGGAUUUUGGGGUUGGAAAAUUGGGAAUUAAUUGGGAAUUAAUUGGGAUUCAAUUGGGAAUUAAUUGGAAAUCUGGGUUUUAAUUAGGAAUUAAUUGGGGAUUAAUUGGGAUUGGGCUGGGAUUUAAUUGGGGAUUAAUUGGGGUUGGAAAUCGGGAUUUAAUUGGGAUUUUAGUGAGAUUUAAU
rnacentral:lncRNA from 1 species